GGGCAGAUGUCAAGCUGGGACUUUUCUUGCAAUAGGAGAAAUGCAGUGGGAAGUACUUGGUGUGCAGAUAUGGGCAGUCUUCAUAGGUCUUUGCCACGGGGUCACAGUGACCCAGAAGGAACGCUUCAAAACCAUCCAAGAAGGGAGCCAGGCGAGCAUCACUUGUGAACAUGACGACAGCAGCUAUUUAGUCACCCAUUGGUAUCAGCAGGAGCUUAAUAGUAGACGGACAGAACUACAAUUCAUUGGCUUAUCCAUACAAGGAAAUCGUCCACAGAUGGAAAAGAAAAACUACAACAUAUACAGACAAGAUGUGACCCAUGCUUCUCUCAGUAUUCCUCCAGAUGAGGCUGCAAAGCCAGCAAAAUAUUUCUGUGCUGUUUCUCAGGCACAGUGA